AUUUCCGCACAAUGUGGGCCUUGGAGUGACCAGGGAUCCUCAGCUUCUCAAAAGGAUUGGAGAAGCAACUGCCCUUGAAGUUAGAGCUACGGGAAUUCCUUAUGUCUUUGCUCCAUGUAUUGCGGUGUGCAGAGAUCCACGAUGGGGUAGAUGUUACGAAAGCUACAGUGAAGAUCAUAGAAUUGUUCAAGCAUUGACUGAGAUUAUACCUGGUUUACAAGGAGACCUACCUACCAAUUCAAGAAAGGCUGUUCCUUUUGUUGCUCCCGGAAAGACCAAGGUCGCGG
rnacentral:misc_RNA from 1 species